AUGGGCACAGGCAUCUAUCUUUUGGAUAAGGAACAUCUGCCUAUUCAUCCAGAUUUUGAAGACAAUGAAGUUGUGAUGAACAAGGAUGAACCAUCAUCAGCCCAUGCACAAGCACAAAAGGAGAAGGCAAGAAAGGAGAAAGCUGCAAGGAUGCCAACUCAAGAGGAGGAAUUAGAAUACUUCUUGAAAACCAAGCAAGAGCAGCUUAGUUACCUAAUUGCAUCCACCCUGCGGAUUGAGAAAGGUUUGGCCAACCUAACUCAGAACCAGGCAAGCUUAGAGAGGAUCGUAGAACAGAAGUUCUAUGACUUGGACAUCAAGGUGACAGAAAUUCAGACUGCAGUGGAGCAGCUCCAAGAUGACAUGCAGGAGAGGAGAGGGAAGACAACCACAAAUGCUUUUGCCAGAGUGCCACGAGCCCAGAGGUCCAGUGCAGUGCCAGUUCCUGACACAAGAGCAACCGCCUCAGCACCAGCCGCAACACCAACCCAACCUGCUCCAGCAUCCACUUCAGCUCCAGCUCCAACUACAUCAACGGAAGCCUUCGUCCUUGGAGUGAUCCAGACUCCACCACCUCCUAAAGAUCAAGCCUGA
rnacentral:rRNA from 1 species